rnacentral:tRNA from 1 species
GAUAAAGUGGCUGAGUAAGAGGCGGUAGAUUGUAAAUUUAUUAACGAGGUUAUUUCCUCCUUUAUCA